UGAAAUGUGGUAUGCAAAACCCUAAUUUAAGGGCCUCCAUUAUGGGUGCUCUAAGAAAAGCUAACUUGCUCUAAGGAACUCUCCAUUCCCAAGUACUUUCUCCAAGGGCUGUACAAUUACUCUUAAUAUUCCAUUUAGGAAACUGCCCAGUUGUGAACUGACUUCUCAUUCGCCCAACGUUUCAUACAAUUUGUGUGAAACUGAAACACAGUUUCAUAUAAAACUCGAAGUGUGGGUAAGUGGUGCUCAAAAAGACUUGUGGAGGCCAUGGAUGCUUCGGAUGUAUGUCCAACUGAGGAGGCCAUUAAGGCUUUUCUGGAAUACUUGGUCGACCCAAUACUUUCACCUAGAUCUUCUCUGCGUGAUACCCCAUCGCUAUCUCAACAAGAAUCAGUUGCCAAACAGGUUCAUGCUGUUGUGUUACUAUACAACUACUAUCACCGAAAGCAAUGCCCGGAUCUAGAAGUUUUGAACUUUGAUUCGUUUUGCAAGUUGGUUUUGGUUCUGAAACCAGCCCUGCUGCCUCAUAUGAAAUUCAUGCAAAAGCCCAGUGAUACUGAGUUGGAUGACCUGGAGAAACAACUCUCAGUGACAGAACAAACAAUCAUGGAUGCAUGCAACAUGUCUUUAAGGUUGGAUGCAUCAAAGGAUGUUCCAAAUACAGAGGGAUGGCCAAUUUCUAAAGUUACCGUCUUUUUGGUUGACCCCAAGAAGGAGAACUGCUUAUUGCUAUUCAGUCCCAUUACCCAGGGGGUUUGGUCGGUGAUUGAAAAAGAUUUAGAUGUCGCAGUGCACAGUUCAGAAGAUCAAACGGAGGCAAAACAUGUAAACAGAAACAAAAGAGUCACUGGAAAACCUUCAAGAGUUGAAUCAAGGACUGAUGGAGCUAGCUUCCGGAAACUUGCAUAUUCAGCAGUUAGUGAAGCUGCAGGUAUUAAUCAAACAGAUCUUCUGGUUUUGGAAAGCCAUGUUGUAUUUUCUGUGAGUAAAGAAAAGGCGGCUGCUUGCUUCUUUAUAAUUCAGUGCACCAAAACAGUCAGUGAGGAGAUUUUUCAAAUUCCUAUUCAAGAUGUUAUUGACAGUCUGCAGGGUCCUCUGGUCGGAAAGAGUUCCAGCAGUUGGACAGUUACACCAGUCGUCGAGUACUUCCAUGUGCUUCCUUAUGCUGGGAUUUUGUUAGACUGGUUUUCUAGCAGGAGAGAAUCCUCAAAUGGUUUGCAAGAUUCAAGGCUAGAGGAAAAUAUAACUGUAAACAGCUCCGAUAGGGUUCAAACACCUUGCAAGCUAGAACUUGAUAAAAGCCGAGACAAGUCUCAUGAAAAAGGUAUCAUGAUUGAGAAUGUUGAAAACACAAGUGGUUCCCAGAAAAUGGAGGUGGAUGACUCUUCCAUGGUCCCCUUGCAGAAUGAACAGAGUUGUAAGUAUAUUUCAAGCACAAUUCAAGUUGUCAAACACCAUGUAGAGAAUCUUGAAAAAGAUACACCCAGAUCUAAACCUCAAUCAAGGGAGCAGAAAGAUACCACUGGAUGUUGCAAGACAAGUUUGGCUGAUGCUUUCAAUGGGCCUCAGAAAAUUGAGGUCAAGGUGGUGAACUCAAAAACAAGGCCAUUCAUUACUGACUGCGGCGCUAAAAAAAUUGUUGCUGGAAAGAAGAUCUGUUCCAUGGACUCGUCAGAUCAAGAUGGUAUAGAUGGUCGUGCCAUUGUCACCUAUCAAUCAAGUUCCAAAGAUCUUUACAAGCUUCAGAUUGCUAUAGCUUCUAAAGAAAACAUCUUGUCACAAACUGCUUUGAAAGUUCUGAUGAAAAGAAGGGAUGACCUGUCUCUUCAGCAGCGGAAUAUUGAGGAUGAGAUUGCUCAGUGUGAUAAAAAAAUCCAGACAAUUUUAAAUGGUGGUGAAGAUGACUUGGCACUAAAGGUAGAGUCCAUUAUAGAAGGUUGUAAUGAUGUCUGUGUAAGAAGUGGAAGGACUCAUCGACUGCUUGAAGACCAACUCCCCCAAAGUAGCAAGAGGAAGAAGUUGUCAGAGGCCAUUCUCAAAGAGCAAAAUCCAUGCCAGGAUCUGGAUGAUGUAUGCUAUGAAAACAAUUGGGUAUUACCAACUUAUCGUGUAUCCCCAUCAGAUGGUGAGAUCAUUUAGAUUUGAACUGUUUUUAUUUUCACAUGCAAUUUAAACUGUGCUUUUAAAUAGAAUUGAUUUUCCUAUGGGGAAAAAAGGAUGUUAUAUCAUUGCUUAAUGUUCCUCUGAUCUUGUUGCUGUUCCUGCAAUUUAUAUGGAAAAAAGAUCUUUGCUACGACCUUUCAAUAUUUAGUUAAUCGGGUAGAAUUUUCUUUUUGUCUUUUUUAAUAAUGCUGGACUGCUUCGGGAAUUUUUUUUGGGCAAUAAUGUGGCCGAGCCACGCCAAUUUAAUCUUCCAAAGGUUUAGAAUGUGCUGGGAUUGUCAUCUUUGACUUUCAUGAUCCAUCAAAUCUUUUACAAAAUAAUCCUUACUAGCUUCUGAACUCUUUCAGCAUUUUACUGAAAUUCAUAAACCUAAGGAUUGAGACAUCAUUAAUUGUUGGUGGGUCUUCCUUCCUGUCUCACAGCUGUGUUUUUGGGGUAAAGCUGUUGAUUUGAUUAGAACUUGCAUAAAAAUUCUGGAAACUGGUUAUUCUGCAGUAGGGUUUUAGUUCUGCCUUUUGGAGAACUUGCCAGGUGGAUUCCAAGCUGAGGUGACAGUAAAAGGGAUGGAUUUUGAUU